GACAGAGGUGCCGAGCGUGAGGCGGAAUCACUGGGCUUAAAGCGUGUGUAGGCGGGUCGUUAAGGGCCUUGUGAAAUCCCACAGCUCACCUGUGGAACUGCUUGGCAUACUGGCGAUCUUGAGCCACUUAGGGGCAACCGGAACAAACGGUGGAGCGGUGAAAUGCGUAGAUAUCAAGAGGAACACCUGAGGUGAAGACGGGUUGCUAGGCUGACACUGACGCUGAGGCGCGAAAGCCAGGGGAGCAAACGGG
rnacentral:rRNA from 1 species